rnacentral:rRNA from 1 species
ACAGGGAUUGCCUCAGUAACGGCGAGUGAAGCGGCAACAGCUCAAAUUUGAAAUCUGGCCCUUUCAGGGUCCGAGUUGUAAUUUGCAGAGGGUGCUUUGGCGUCGGCCGUGGUCUAAGUUCCUUGGAACAGGACGUCACAGAGGGUGAGAAUCCCGUACGUGGCCGCCGGUCUUCGCCGUGUAAAGCCCCUUCGACGAGUCGAGUUGUUUGGGAAUGCAGCUCUAAAUGGGAGAUAAAUUUCUUCUAAAGCUAAAUAUUGGCCAGAGACCGAUAGCGCACAAGUAGAGUGAUCGAAAGAUGAAAAGCACUUUGGAAAGAGAGUCAAAAAGCACGUGAAAUUGUUGAAAGGGAAGCGCUUGCAGCCAGACGUGCCCGCAGUUGCUCACCUAGGCUUUUGCCUGGGGCAUUCUUCUGCGGGCAGGCCAGCAUCAGUUCGGACGGUUGGAUAAAGGCCUCUGUCACGUAUCUUCCUUCGGGAUGACCUUAUAGGGGAGGCGCAACACGACCAGUCUGAACUGAGGACCGCGCAUCAGCUAGGAUGCUGGCGUAAUGGCUGUAAGCGGCCCGUCUUGAAACACGGACCAAGGAGUCUAACAUCUAUGCGAGUGUUUGGGUGUAAAGCCCGGGCGCGCAAUGAAAGUGAACGGAGGUAGGAACCCCUCGGGGUGCACUAUCGACCGAUCCUGAAGUCUUCGGAUGGAUUUGAGUAAGAGCAUAGCUGUUGGGACCCGAAAGAUGGUGAACUAUGCCUGAAUAGGGUGAAGCCAGGGGAAACCCUGGUGGAGGCUCGCAGCGGUUCUGACGUGCAAAUCGAUCGUCAAAUUUGGGCAUAGGGGCGAAAGACUAAUCGAACCAUC